UACAGAAUCAGACUCCUUACCAAAUCCUUUUCUCCAAAAUUCCUACCUAUUCUCACUCUAGAACCUUGGGAUGUCUGUGCUAUGCAUCAAACCUUGACCCUCAUCGAACCAAAUUUGAUUCAAGGGCUAGAAAAUGCAUUUUUAUAGGAUAUCCAAAUGGGAUUAAGGGGUACAAGCUCUUUGACAUGAAAACUCAUGAAAUUUUAGUUAGUCGCGAUGUGGUUUUCUAUGAAGAAAUUUUUCCUUUCAAACACCAUACUGACAUGCCCUCUCUUUUAUCCACUCCGACCAUGUCCACACUAGAUGAUACUCCUAUUGUCUCUAAUCCCAUUUCUGAUCCUAUGGACUUGUCACAACCAGCAAACACCAAUAUUGAAAGGAAUACACAACCUUCAUCCGAUACAUCCAGCAACACGCUAGACCAAGUGGAGACUGCAUAUAUUUCUCUUCUUCCUACUACAGAAAGUCCCAGUUCACCAGACCUUUCCCCUAUCCAAGCAACAGGAUCUUUACCCGAGCUUAGGAGAUCUACCCGAGACAAAAAAUUACCUCAUUACCUUAAGAUUUCAAUUGCAAGCCGAUGACCUCUUUAGCAACACCAAACGAACCUCUUCUUGGCAAGUCACCUGAUGAAGGUAAUCUUCAUGCACUCUUUUCAGUUCUUGAUUAUACACAUUUAUCACCAUCACAUUUAAAAUUUACCUUAGUAGUUAGCCUUGAACCCGAGCCUGCAUCCUAUGCCCAAGCCAUGAAAUAUCCUCAUUGGAGGAUUGCUAUGAGUGAUGAAAUAAGAGCAUUAGAAGAAAAUCAGACUUGAGUACUUACACGACUACCAGAUGGAAAGAAAACUAUUGGAUGCAAAUGGGUGUUCAAGAUCAAAUAUAAGGCUGAUGGAAGCAUUGAGCAACACAAGGUGAGAUUGGUUGCAAAAGGCUACACUCAAAGGGAAGGUGGAGACUAUUUUGAGACUUUCACACGUGGCCAAAAUAUCUACUAUACGCUGUAUCUUAGCCCCUGCAGACUCUAAGAACUGGUUUUUAUCUCACCUAGAUGUCAAUAAUGCCUUCGUGUAUGGUGACUUGGAUGAAGAAGUGUACAUGUCUCUACCUCCGGCAUAUGGCACUGAAGGGGAGCAACGAGUUUGCAAAUUAAGGAAGUCACUCUACGAAUUGAUGCAAGCAUAUCCUCAAUGGAACCAAAAACUCACCUCGGUCAUCACAAAGAUUGGGUUCAUCCAAUCUAAGGCUGACUAUUCUUUGUUUGUUAAGAAAACUUGUACUUCAUUUACUAUUCUGUUGGUGUACGUAGAUGAUAUGGUUAUUGCAGGUGAUAAUGCUUCCGAAAUACAGCAAUUGAAGGACU
rnacentral:lncRNA from 1 species